AUGGCCGGGACUCCACUCUUUCUCCUCUCCUUCCUCCUUCACUGCAUAGGGUCCCUCUCUCAGCCUGUUCUGACUCAAGCGCCUUCAGCAUCUGCCUCUCUGAAAACCUCAGUAAAGCUUACCUGUACCCUGAGCAGUGGGUACAGUAACUAUGGUGUGGAAUGGUACCAGCAAGGCCCAGGAAAAGGUCCCCGGUUUGUAAUGCGUGUGGGUCCUAAUGGUCAGAUAGGAUCCAAGGGAGAAGGGAUCCCUGAUCGCUUCUCGGGAUCAGGAUCUGGCCUGGACCGAUUUCUGACCAUCCAGAACAUCCAAGCAGAAGAUGAGGCCGACUACUACUGUGGUGCUGACCAUGGUAGUGGGAGCAGCUUUGUUUAA